AUGACUCAGAGUGAGUCAGGUGCACAUGGAAGCUUGAUCCAGCCCUAUUGUCUUUUGUCAACAGGUCUUCACUGUGCUCCAGCUGCAGUAUCAGUGGAAUUGUGUGAUGUGGAUAUGAUGGAAGGAAAGGCAUUCAACACCAACAUCUUUCCGGAUGCCUGGCAGCACCAGUUACCACUGCAGUGGCUGGGCCUGGGUCCAGAGCUCCCAUUAUUCCUGUUUUGUAGAGGUGGGCCCAGAAAAAUGACAGAAGACACCCAAGCUCCAGCAGCAGAUUUGGUGAAUAUCCUUCAGCCUUCCCAGUUCUGCUUGCAGGUUUCAGUUUCACUCCGAGCUGUGAUUCAUUUCUGUCCCCUUUGUCUCCGUGUCUCUCCUUCCUAGUGACCCAGCCUCCUUUUGGCCUUCAGUGGGGUGAAGAGAAGUGUGAGUUGUGCCUGGUGUCUUCCAUCAGCCCUGAGCCGCCCAGGGCCGAGCUGGGGGACAGAUAGCAGCACACAGAGCUUCAUUUUCCUCAGCUCUUCAGCCACGUCAAACACUUCUUACAAUAAUAGACUCCAAUGUGCGGUUGAUGUCCAGGACAGACAGAGGUCUUGGCAGAAGCUGGGAUUGCUUUCCCAUUUCACUGAGUUUAUAAAAAUGACAUUUUUGAACUUUAAAUCUUAGCAUUCAUGACCCUUAGUAUUUUCCCUCUUUUUGUCACUCGCUUCUUUGAAGAUCAAGUCACCUAUUCCUCCAGCUUAAGACAAUGUUUCAGGUGAUAAGAAAAGACAAAACAUCAGAGACCCCAGAGGUGCCAAUUGUCUACUCCUUUCAUGCUAACAACUUGCAUUUCUACUCAUUGGUUACAGAAAAGUAACUACCUCUUUCUCUCAGCGUGCUGUGGGGGGCUUUGUCUGUGCCAAAGUAGCUAGAUCAGACUUUUUAAUGAGCAAGACUCAAAAAAAGUAAAUUGACUUUUUACAGGGAAACAGGCCAUUCCUCAAAAACUGUUAAAGAUUCUGUCAUCCAGAAUAUCCCUAUCCUGUUGACCUUAUUUACAGAUUUCAUGAAAAAUACAUCAUCGUAACAUUGAUAUAUGGACCCUGUAGCAUCCAAUUUCUUGAAGGCAUCUGUACCUGAUAAGGAUGCUGGUCAUGCACUCAUAAACAUGGGGGCAAUAUAAAUGAGACGAUGCCCCAUGGAAUAUAAUACAUAGAUGCUUUUCUAAAAUGUGCUCCUAUCCUUUGGAAAUAAAGCAGUUUGGUUCUCUACCUUGGCUCUGAAC
rnacentral:lncRNA from 1 species